UACGUAGGGGGCAAGCGUUGUCCGGAUUUAUUGGGCGUAAAGAGCUUGUAGGCGGUCUGUCGCGUCUGCUGUGAAAAUCCGGGGCUCAACCCCGGACUUGCAGUGGGUACGGGCAGACUAGAGUGUGGUAGGGGAGACUGGAAUUCCUGGUGUAGCGGUGAAAUGCGCAGAUAUCAGGAGGAAUACCGGUGGCGAAAGCGACUCUCUGGACGGCAACUGACGCUGAGGCACGAAAGCGUGGGGAGCAAACAGG
rnacentral:rRNA from 1 species